rnacentral:rRNA from 1 species
AUUGAACGCUGGCGGCAGGCCUAACACAUGCAAGUCGAGCGGAUGAAGGGAGCUUGCUCCUGGAUUCAGCGGCGGACGGGUGAGUAAUGCCUAGGAAUCUGCCUGGUAGUGGGGGAUAACGUCCGGAAACGGGCGCUAAUACCGCAUACGUCCUGAGGGAGAAAGUGGGGGAUCUUCGGACCUCACGCUAUCAGAUGAGCCUAGGUCGGAUUAGCUAGUUGGUGGGGUAAAGGCCUACCAAGGCGACGAUCCGUAACUGGUCUGAGAGGAUGAUCAGUCACAAUGGAACUGAGACACGGUCCAGACCCCGACGGGAGGCAGCAGGGGGGAAUUUUGGACAAUGGGCAAAACCUUGACCCAGCCAUACCGCGGGGGUAAAGAAGGUCUUCGGAUUUAAAAGCAUUUAAGUUUGGAAGGAAGGGAAGUAUUUUAAUCCCUUGUUGUUUUGAGGUUACAAAAAAAAUAAGCACCGGCUAAUUUCGUC